rnacentral:rRNA from 1 species
GCCUAGGAACUAAAUACCCUAAAGGCACCAGAUCCUGUCUGAUCUUAGAAAGCUAAAUUGAGUCCACCUAGGAUAGUACCUGGAUAUGAGACUGCCAAACAACACCAAGUGUUGUAGGCU